GACGAACGCUGGCGGCGUGCCUAAUACAUGCAAGUCGAGCGAUCAAGAUAGGUGCUUGCACCACUUUGAAUAGCAGCGAACGGGUGAGUAACGCGUGGGUAAUCUGCCUUUGAGCGGGGGACAACAUUUGGAAACGAAUGCUAAUACCGCAUAACAACUUUAAACAUAAGGUUUAAUUGUGAAAGAUGCAAUUGCAUUACCCAAAGAUUAUCUCGCGUUGUAUUAGCUAGUUUGUGAGGGAAAGGCCUAACAAGGCGAAGGUACAUAGCCGAACUUAGAGGGUGGUCGGCCACAUUGGGAACUAGACACGGCCCAAAAUCCUACGGGAGGGAGCAGUAGGGGAACUUUGGCAAUGGGGGGAAGUCCGAACGGGGAAAGCCGCGUGAGUGAAGGAGGGUUUCGGGUCGUAAAACUCUGUUGAUUGGGGAGAAACAAAGGGGGAAUGGACAGCUCAUGACGUGACGGUAACUAAUCAGAAAGGCACGGCUAACUACGUG
rnacentral:rRNA from 1 species